CCUUAUUUUCCUGAACUACACCUGAAUAUUCUUUGUUUAUACAGGUCGUGUGAGGAAUAUCCAUUUUGAGUUCUAUCUGGAUUCUGAUACCGCAAUUUCAAUUGCUGGGGAGAUGGUUGAGCAACUUGAUCUUUUGCAUGAAGAUGUGUCUGUCAUAGCUGAGUUAAUUGAUAACUUGAUCAUGAAGCUAGUACCCGGCUGGAAACCUUCAUCAGAAGGUUCAUCAUGUGGAACAAAUAGUUCAUGUGGGGAUCACCCUGCACCGCAAAAUGUUGUCUCACAUUUUGUACAUGCGGAGGACCGAGAUAACCAAGCAUCAAUGAUUUUAGAUACUUCGGUUACCUCAGCUGAGUAUGGUGUCCCUACCUCCUCAGGUGCCAAUAAUGUCAAAGUUAUGAAGUCGGCUAAAUACAGUUCUGAUGAAUGCUGUAAAGGUUCAGAUGGUUAUGGUUGCAGUCCAGAUAUUGUUCAGGGUGCGGUCAGGGAGAAGAGUAACGAAGCUGAUUCUGGUGAUUCAGUUGUGAUGAAUGAGGCUCGCCCCGACAUGUCAAGCAUUUGGUCCUUAUCUGAGCUGUCUCUAGCUAACAAAGAUCGAUACAACGAGCUAAAGGGGGAGCUUGAUGCUAUUGACAGGCAGUACCAUCGAUGCCUUCUUGAGCUCUUGACAUUGAGGGAAGAAGAAAUUCAGAGUGCAGAGAAGAGGUGGAUGGCGAAAAAGAUAUUAUCUGUUAAGUGAUGUACUAUUUAGUGUUCUCUUUCGUCUCUUUUUUCCCUGUAACAUUCAUUUUAUACUUGUAAUUGUUUUUUUCGGUUAAGAAAAGCGGCGAAGCAAAUCAUGCCGGUGUUUCUAUGUGUGGAUUUGGUACGUACAUUUGGUUUUACGAUUACUAAUGAUAUUUACUUUGUUCCAUUGCUUACCAAAAACAUAUAAUGUAAAAAAGUGAGAGGGCCUGUGCUAUUACUUCAUAAGUUCUACAUUAAUCUACUAUGGGUAGAGAUAAUGUAUACACAUAUAUUUGGACACUUGGGCGAAUCUAGAAAGCAGCGACCCCAGUGACUGACUUUCAGCUAGUUAUUUCUUUCCUCCCCCCACCCUCUGGUUCAUUUCUGCUUCAGCUGAGCCCUCACAAACGAGGACGUGAUCCGGGGAGGCUCGGGGUCUCUCUCGAACGGGAGGAACAUCAUCGCUUCGUGAACAGCUACCAACCUGCCGCCGGAUUUGAGUGAAACUAGUCCGAAUCUGGCUUAAUGGUACAGAGGUACGUAAAUUUAGAAUUGAAGGGAAUAGAAGUUUUGUUAUUUAAACUUGUAGAUCAUGGCACUGGCUUUAGUUGGAGGGGCUGCUGUUGGAGCACUGUUUGGAGCUCUCUAUGAUGUGGUUAAGGUAAGCCACGGGAAAGACUGUUAUGCAGUAUAGACCCUUACUUGGAGAUCUCAAAUUCACGCUUGAUUCUCUAAGACUGCUGAUGAGUAGAUUUUAUAUUAUAUGUUCAACCUUGUUCUUAAUAUAUUUUGGUAGAAUUUUGAUACUUUGAAUUGUAUUUUCAAUAUAGGACUUUCAACUUCCUCUGGAGCAAAACGUGAUCAACUGGUUGAAUUUUGGAGUGAUUCCAAUUGGAGAACGUUCGUGAGUCACUUGGCUUGAUCGUAUCAAAAUUUGGAAGUUUUCUACCAAGCGGUGAUUUUCUAACGAUAGAAUAAAGGAGCAGUGCGCAGUGCUGAAAAAGUAACGUUUUAAGCUUGAAUUGCGUUUUUGGAGCCCAAGAUGACCUCUAAUGAGUUCGUGGCCUUGUGGAUAUAUGUUUAGAACGUCCCGAUCUUCAAAACAAACUAUAAUGGGCCGGAUUUUCUAAGAUAUUUUAUUAUUAUUUAGUUUCCUACUUGGAAUAAAAGACUUGGUUUUAGGGAUUGUGCGAUGUCUAGGAUGGGAUUUUAAAAAGGUUUUGGCCAGCCCUAGUUUAUUAGGUUCUUUUAUGCGAUCUUGGAGACAAAAAAAAAAAAAAAGGCUAGGGUUUUUGAAGGCUUUCAAAUUUUUACUUUAAGGUAUUGUCAUUCUUAUUCAUUGUAAUAAUAUUUUUAUGAUUUUAAUUAUGAAUAUGCGUAGCUAAUCCGUUUUGCUAGGGCGAAUCCUUAAGUCUUAGUGUGAAUAUGUAAUUUUUGUUUAAUUGCUUAUGAUUGAUUGCAUGCACAAUUUGAAUUAGUGAUCACCGUUUUAAACUAUCUAACCGUCUUAAUGCUUGAUCACUAUGAGGAUCUUUAGAAAAGCAAAUUGAUGCAAUUUUGGUCGAAAGAUUCCCUGAAAUUGACGCUGGCUUCUUGUGAUUAAUAAUUGUAAUUUCACUUAAAAUGAACAUCACGUUUUUAGGGUUGCAUGGUUUUUUCAAAAGGUUUUCAUAAAGCAUAAUAAAUCUCUCAUGUUUAUAUUUAAUCCGAACGUCCGGACAGAUUGCAUGUUAGAUAUACGUUCUAUGUUGAAGGUUCCAAGUAGAAUAUAUAUUAGGAUAACCUAACCUUCAAAGUGGCAUGUGCAGAUCAUAAGUAAUUGGUAACAAUACAUAGGAUUGCUAGGUGAUGGUAAAACCCUAGUGCUUUUAUAAAUUGGUAUUCAAAACUCGUUUAUUUUAUUGUAUUAGUUUUGGAGGAAUUUACUAUUUGUUUUUAAUUAAAAUUAAUUUUUAAUAUUACCCAAUUUCAAAAUUUCUUUCUCAAUUUUUAGUUUUAAAUAAUUAACUAGGAAUUGUUUUUACAUAAAUGAUUGAAAUAGUCCUUGUGCAGGAGAUGUUUUUUUUUUUUUUUAAGUUGUGCAGGAGAUGGUAAAGUUGUUAAGAUUUCCUAGCCGUUAGGGUUUGGUCUCCUAGUUUGUAGGCUUGUUUUCAGAAGUUGUUAAUAAUCCCUAUUCUUUAGGGACCAGUUAUUUAGUUUGAUUCUGAUUUAGUCGUGUACCACGUUGUUAGGGUUGUGAAACGUGGGCUGCAUAUUUUCUUUCUUAAUGAAUAACCCAGAUUCUCCCAGCUAUCGAGUGUAUAAGCAAACAUAAUAUUUUCGUGUUUUUUCUUGUGUGUUCAUCCUAGGUUUCUAACAGGAGAGAGGUGAUGUGAUCAAGGAGACAUCGUUUGCAGCAAGUAACAUAGAGGAAGGCGUCAAGCUAAUGGAAGGGAGUGGUGUGUUACAAGACCAAAACGGAAUCAAAGGUUUGUACUAAGUCGUUGAACCACCAUCACCGAAAGUUAUAUUGGAUGUACUGAAUCUGCAGGGAACAAUGGAUGUGGAGGAGACAUCAGAUUCCACGGUGAAUAUGGAGGCAGGGGUCAAGCAAAUCAAGGAGAGUGGUGUGGUGAAAAAUCAAAUUGAUAUUGCAGUAACUGAACCCCCGUUGCUUAGAGAUGGAUUGGAAGUAGCGAACAUGCAGGGAACAAGGGAUAAUAAGCAAAUUGAGGGGAUAGGAGUGGUCGCGCUCCAAGCUCCAGUUUCUGAAUGUGAACUUCCAUCGCUUACACUCGAAUCGAACGUCCAAUUUGGGCUCUUAGAUUCAAUGAGUAGCUUCGAAGACAACCAGCAAGUACUAGACUGGCAGCAGCAGCAGCAAAACUCUUAUAUGGUACGACUAAAUUCUUACAUUCUCUUCUUUUUAACUGUGUAGUCGGAAGCCUAGUUUUGAACCUUAUUCUGAGACCAUAUCAUUUUUCAUGAACAGGAAGAGGCGCUGAACAGCCAGCAGCAGUCACUGAAUUUCAGUAAGUACUUCAAUUUGCCAACAGAGAAGGCAGGACUUGAGUCUGAAGUUGAAUUUGAGCCACUACCGGGUUUAUCCCAAGCCAUUGACACGAGCCUUGCAUAUGUGCAGAGUAGGCAACAUGUUGAUGCUCCAGAGCCUCAUUACCUAAAUAGAACUCGAUUGUCUCAGCAUGUUAGUCAGAUAAAGUCAAAUGCUGGGUUUACCUGGGGAAAGUAUGGGUAAGAACAAGUGGAACGUAGUAAAUAUCCGUGUAGUUAUUACAAGUGUACAUAUCCCAAAUGUCCAACAAGGAAGAAGCUUGAGAGAUCAUUGAAUGGAGAGAUUACUGAAAUCGUAUACAAGGGAAGUCACAACCAUCCUAAGCCCCAGUCUACAAGACAAUCAACCUCUCGACCAAUUGAGCGUUCUUCAUACGGACUCUUUGAUCAAUUGGCCCCAAAAAUAUCCAACCCAAAAGUUGAAUCAGCCACGACGCUGGAUGAUUUGGAAAAAAAAUCUCUGACCAGUAAUUCAGGAGUUGAAGAUGAAAAUGAGCCUGUCAUCAAAGAAUGGUAAUCUCGGACGAUUCUAGUUAGGACUGUAUAUGUCAUAUGAUAGCCAAAAUUGCAUAUGCGGUAAUGGUUUUUUUUUUUUUUUUUUUUGUUUUUUGUUUUUUUUGUUCUUCUUUUGCAGGGAUGUAGGAAACGCAAAUGAUCAGACAACUCAUACCUUUUCUGCUUCUGGGAGUAGCAUUGUAAAAGAACCCAAACUAUGGUGAAGACAAUAAGUGAAAUUGAUCUUGUGGAUGAUGGAUAUAAGUGGAAGAAAUAUGCACAGAGAGUAAUAGAUGGAAAUUUUCUUCCAAGCAAACACUUCCCCAACUCGGCUGCUUAUAUCCUAUUCAACUGUUUUCCAAUCUGUAGGGCCUACUACAAAUGCACGUAAAGGAAACACAAGCACGACAUUCUUGGAAAAUAUUAGUAUUUUAAGUAUUAUAUUGUUUGAGUUUUUUUAUAAGUUUUCGGCCUAACAUGUUAGUAUUAGGGUUAGAUUUGUUCGCUAUAAAUAUAAUGUUUCGUAUCCCUGAAGAAUAACUUAGUCACGAUGUAACCUUUUUGGAUUUUGUAACUGUUCCGACAUUAUUCUUAUUAUUUUGUAAUCUUGUUUGUACCGUCCUCUGAUAUUCAAUAUCAAUAUCAGAGCAUGUGUGAUCAUUCGGGAUUUAAUCUAUUAUUGAUAUGUAUCAAUCAGUUGUUUGUUUGAUAUUAGUUUUGAAAAAAAAAAAAUUGAAUAUGUUUGCUCGGAAGUUGCACCACUCCCAGAUCCCUGCAUACCCAAAACCCCCAGCCAGCAACCGCCGCUUCAAACUUGCCGUGCCCAAUUUUUCUACAACCUGCCGCUGCUGUUAACUGGAGCCCAGAAACAUACCCACAUCGCCACCACGCCCACCAUGCCCUCCUUGAACUAGAACUCGACCUGCAAUCUGACCUCCGCAUCAGACCUGUCUCUGUCAAGUCGUACCAGAUAGAAAACUACUGCCCAGAAAGGGGUAUUUAUCAAAUAUAGCUAAAUAUUAACCCUGAAUUUAAAAAAUGUCAAUUUUUACAAAAAAAAUUCAAAUAUAUCUAAAAUCUCACUUACGUAGAUAUAAAUACCCUCAAAUUCAAUAUCCAACAAUUUGUAGUUGAUUGUAAAAGUUUGGUCAUGCGUUUUCAAUAUAAUCAAAUAGAACACAUUCAUGUCUUCGAUUAUACUGAAAAAGCAUGGAAAAGUUUUUACCAUUCAAUUAUAUAUUGAAUGAGUAUGGACAAAUUUUGCCAUGUCUUAGUUGGGUAGAUUAUAAAAUGUAAAAAGGCCUGUAGGGAACAAAGUCGAAUAUAUAUUUUUUUUUUUCCAACCUGGGAUUGUCCUUGUUGCUGAGAAAUAAUGAUCUAUUACACCAAUGAAAAUUCUAACCCUUCGGUUCUGGAGUUACAGAGUUUAACUGAGAAUAAUGAGUUCAGGUUAAGAGCGACCAAAAUUGCUGAUAACACCGUCUCAUUAACUUUGCGCAUUGCUGAUACAUGUGGUAAGUACAUUUGCCGUGCAAAAAGUUUUACUUCCCCCCCUUAUUUUCCUGAACUACACCUGAAUAUUAUUUGUUUAUACAGGUCGUGUGAGGAAUAUCCAUUUUGAGUUCUAUCUGGAUUCUGAUACCGCAAUUUCAAUUGCUGGGGAGAUGGUUGAGCAACUUGAUCUUUCGCAUGAAGAUGUGUCUGUCAUAGCUGAGUUAAUUGAUAACUUGAUCAUGAAGCUAGUACCUGGCUGGAAACCUUCAUCAGAAGGUUCAUCAUGUGGAACAAAUAGUUCAUAUGGGGAUCAUCCUGCACCGCAAAAUGUUGUCUCACAUUUUGCAAAUGCGGAGGACCGAGAUGACCAAGCAUCAAUGAUUUUAGAUACUUCGGCUACCUCGGCUGAGUAUGGUGUCCCUACUGCCUCAGGUGCCAGUAAUGUCAAAGUAUGGAGUCGGCUAAAUACAGUUCUGAUGAAUGCUGUAAAGCUUCAGAUGGUUACGGUACCAGUCCAGAUUGUAUGGUUCAGGGUGCGGUCAGGGAGAAGAGUUACGAAGCUGAUUCUGGUGAUUCAGUUGUGAUGAAUGAGGUACGCCCUGACAUGUCAAGCAUUUGUUCCUUAUCUGAGUGUUGUGCUAGGAUAGCACCAAACCUUUUAGAACCAACUCUUUUUAACCCACA
rnacentral:lncRNA from 1 species